CCUACGGGGGGCUGCAGUGAGGAAUAUUGGUCAAUGGGCGAGAGCCUGAACCAGCCAAGUCGCGUGAGGGAAGACGGUCCUAUGGAUUGUAAACCUCUUUUGUCGGGGAGCAAAAAGGCCUCGUGAGGCCACAAGUGAGAGUACCCGAAGAAAAAGCAUCGGCUAACUCCGUGCCAGCAGCCGCGGUAAUACGGAGGAUGCGAGCUUUAUCCGGAUUUAUUGGGUUUAAAGGGUGCGUAGGCGGGAUGCCAAGUCAGCGGUCAAAUACGGGGGCCCAACCUGCGACCGCCGUUGAAACUGGCGUUCUUGAGUGGGCGAGAAGUACGCGGAAUGCGUGGUGUAGCGGUGAAAUGCAUAGAUAUCACGAAGAACCCCGAUUGCGAAGGCAGCGUACCGGCGCCCGACUGACGCUGAAGCACGAAAGCGUGGGUAUCGAACAGGAUUAGAUACCCGAGUAGUC
rnacentral:rRNA from 1 species